rnacentral:rRNA from 1 species
UACGAGGGGUGCAAGCGUUGCUCGGAAUUAUUGGGCGUAAAGGGUAGGUAGGUGGUCUUAUUUGUCUUGUGUGAAAGCCUUGGGCUUAACCCAAGAAGUGCGCAAGAAACGGUAAGACUAGAGUCCCAGAGAGGCUUGUGGAAUUCCCGGUGUAGCGGUGAAAUGCGUAGAGAUCGGGAGGAACACCAGAGGCGAAGGCGGCAAGCUGGCCUGUUCUUGACGCUGAGGCGGCGAAAAGCCUG